GCUACCAGCGCAAAGCCGAAACUCGCCCGCAAACAGGCUCUGGAGGCUGUGACUGCUGCAGCGGACCCUGGGAAAGCGAGUUGACGCCACUACAGCAUUUUGAAGAGGAAAAGCGGAGACCCUCAGCUACAGAUCUUCGAAAUUUCUUACAUGACUUCUGAUCUUCACAACUGUGCAAUCCAUUUUUAAAACGGGAAAAAGACUCUGAAAUCAGAAGUUGUACGUCUAGAGUUGCUUAUUCACCAUAUUUCAUUGUCUUGAUAGCAUCACUAGAACGACCUACCGAAGAAAGUACCAUUUGAGUCUCCAUCCUCAUGCUUCUGCUGCUGUUGCUGCUGCUGUUGCUGCUGCUCCCUCAGUUGCAAGGAUUCCUGACAAACAUAAAUGGUUAGCCUUGGGCGCACCAUCCUAAGGAGGAAAAGAAAAAAAGCUGUUACUCAAAUUUUUCAUGAAAGCUCAUCAAUGUAUCACCAAAGCCUAAUGGCUCAUAACAGGGACAAUGGAUAUUUAACUGAAUGAAGAAAACUAAUGAAAAAUGGAAUAUCAUGAGGAAUUCCUUGGAUCAAGUACAGGAAAAGAUAUUUUUCAUCUUUAUUUGGCAUAUAGCUGGCAUUCAAAAAGAAUGUUUCGACAAGAUGUAUUUAGCUGUACAAAAAGUAUGGUGAAGAGUCCCUGAAUCCAAAUCCAUUUGAAAUCCAGCCCCACUGAUAUUUUAACACUAAUUACAUACCGGCCUUUCAAUGCAUUAAAAAGUCUGAUUCCAUCUGCAGGGCCACAGAUUUGAAUCACAUCAUCUCUAGUUAGUUUCAAUAAAUCUGCCCCUGGAAUAAAUAUAAGAAAAUGGGUGAUAAAGGCAAAGAUUCUCCUUGUUAAUGACUUAAAAUGGACUCUGUUACAAGGACACCUCAUUACUAGUAUGCUACAGUCAUAAUCUCUUGCAUGGCAUAUAAGGCCCUCCAUGACCUGGCCCCUGCAUCCUCUCCCACCUCAAUUCCCACCCAAUUAACUUAUUCAUUUAACCCUAUGCUUUCAUCAUGCUGAUCAUGCCUAAUGAGCAAGCUGUUCCUCCUGUCUGAAAUAUCCUUCCACUGUCUGACCAACAGACUCUUCCUCAGCCCUCAAGAUUUACCUCACACAUCACACAUGUUCCCAAACUCCAGACCCUUACUCUUAUCUAUUGCAUCACAACUAUUUGUUUACCUUUUUCAGGGUUUUAUUUUGAUUUGGGUUUCCUUUGAUACUAGAUGGUGACUGAUCAGGAAAUAUGCCUCAUCCAUUUGUGUAUUCCUACCAUACCUGGUACACAGAAUGUGCUAAAUAAGAGUGGAAUGUGCAAAGAAAACAUAAUAUAGUGAUAUCAAGGGGAAGAUUUCCGACUACCUGCAAUGCUCCUUGAUAUAAUAC